rnacentral:rRNA from 1 species
GAUGAACGCUGGCGGCGUGCCUAAUACAUGCAAGUCGAGCGAACGGACGAGAAGCUUGCUUCUCUGAUGUUAGCGGCGGACGGGUGAGUAACACGUGGAUAACCUACCUAUAAGACUGGGAUAACUUCGGGAAACCGUAGCUAAUACCGGAUAAUAUUUUGAACCGCAUGGUUCAAAAGUGAAAGACGGUCUUGCUGUCACUUAUAGAUGGAUCCGCGCUGCAUUAGCUAGUUGGUAAGGUAACGGCUUACCAAGGCAACGAUGCAUAGCCGACCUGAGAGGGUGAUCGGCCACACUGGGACUGAGACACGGUCCAGACUCCUACGGGAGGCAGCAGUAGGAAAUCUUCCGCAAUGGGCGAAAGCCUGACGGAGCAACGCCGCGUGAGUGAUGAAGGUCUUCGGAUCGUAAAACUCUGUUAUUAGGGAAGAACAUAUGUGUAAGUAACUGUGCACAUCUUGACGGUACCUAAUCAGAAAGCCACGGCUAACUACGUG